GUGCGUAACACAUGCAAGUCGGACGGGUUCUGCUUUUCGGAGCAGGGCGAGUGGCGGACGGGUGCGUAACACGUGGAUGACCUACCCUGUGGAGGGGAAUACCGCUCAGAAAUGGGCGCUAAUGCCGCAUGAGCUGGGUGCUGGAGCAGCACUCAGCAAAGGAUGCAACGCGAGUUGCAUGCGCCAGAGGAGGGGUCCGCGGCCGAUUAGCUAGUUGGGGGGGUAAGAGCCUCCCAAGGCGACGACCGGUAGCUGGUCUGAGAGGAUGAUCAGCCACACUGGGAUUGAGAACGGCCCAG
rnacentral:rRNA from 1 species